UACGUAGGGACCAAGCGUGGUUCGGAUUUACUGGGCGUAAAGGGCGCGUAGGCGGUGCGGUAAGGCACUUGUGAAAUCUCCGAGCUUAACUCGGAACGGCCAAGUGAUACUGCAGUACUAGAGUGCGGAAGGGGCAAUCGGAAUUCUUGGUGUAGCGGUGAAAUGCGUAGAUAUCAAGAGGAACACCUGAGGUGAAGACGGGUUGCUGGGCCGACACUGACGCUGAUGCGCGAAAGCCAGGGGAGCAAACGGG
rnacentral:rRNA from 1 species